rnacentral:rRNA from 1 species
GGGCUUGACAUCCCACGAACCUGCCUGAAAGGGCAGGGUGCCCGCAAGGGAGCGUGGAGACAGGUGGUGCAUGGCUGUCGUCAGCUCGUGUCGUGAGAUGUUGGGUUAAGUCCCGCAACGAGCGCAACCCUCACCCCUAGUUGCCACCGGGUAAAGCCGAGCACUCGAGGGGAACUGCCAGCGUCAAGCUGGAGGAAGGCG